AUUUUGAUGUUGGCUAGAUAUCGCCAUUGCUAUUGGUGACCUCUAGAAUUCCAAUUAAUUCAUUGAAAAUGUUGUUGCAUGGAGAGAUCGCUAAUGCUACCGGUGAUAAAUCCUUGAGAUAUCCAGAUCUGGAUCUAGGGUUUCUCUGCUCUCUUUGGCGAUUCCAGACACAGUUAUGCUGCUAGAAAGCUCCGCCAUCUUCACGGCCGUCGUGGUCCAGCAGCGCCGCACAAAUCGACGCAUUGCCGUACAUCGACGACGAGUACGGCGACCACAAAGUCAAAGCGGAGGUUGACCGUUUAAUCGAAGAAGAAAUGCGUCGUAGUGCUAAACGACCGUCUGAUUAUCUUAAAGACCUCCCUCCUGUUGCCAAAUUCAACUUUGAGAUCCACUGAUACUCCGGCGACCGGUGUUGUUGCUCGCUUCGCCGUUAGGGCUCACCAGGUAAUAGUGAUGAAUUUCAGUUGAGAGAUGAUGGUGCACUUCAUGAUUUGCCUACAAUUCUCUUGCUCUUCAAAGUUCCAGCUAAGUUUAUAUUUUGAUUCAGAAUUUGUCGCUUCUUUAUUUUGUAUUUAGGUUUACUAAUUUGGUCAUUAUAUUUUGUGUAUGUGUUCUUGGAAGGAAAUAAGAUCUCUUAUACUAAUUUGGGUUUUUAUUUUCUUAAGAUAGCACUUUCAUGGGGGAAUUUAAGUUCAAAAGGCACUGAGACUUAAUAUGUUCUUGAUGAUGGAAAUGUGAAAAAGGUUCUGCAGUUGGUUUCAAGUUGGACAGCAUAUUGAAACUCACUGAUACACGAGCUUCUAACAGCAAGAUGACUUUAAAGUUUGAAACACUGCAGGCUGCUGUGAUAGAUAUUGUAGUGGUUGCAAUUCGUGAGUUGGGGUGUUCCAAGGGAAGCACUGAAGAAACAAUGUUAGAGGCAACAAAAAAUCGAUGAGAAGGCAAAUAAAAACCCCAUCAUGAUUCCCAAGAUCCACCGGACCUCUUACACGUGUUAGCAGUUCACCAGAAAAGGCUUGAUUCUCAUAAAACCUGAAGGAUUUGUUGUAUGUUUGCAUAUCUUUAGCUUUCUCAUGCACCAAGGCAAGACGGGAAUUAGUCGUCUAAUAUUGAUCGAUAAGAUUUAGAUUUAUUGUUGAAUUUUAAAAUAUUAACAUGUACAAUAUCAAAUUUAAGUGCUUUCCACUACCCUCUUUUUUCACACUAGGUAAUUUUAAGUGCUUCCCUAUACCCUCUUUUUCACACUAGGUAAACCGUAGUUUGCAUAAUGUACCAUUUGUGGUUUAGAUGGCAAUGCAGAGCUUUAAAGUAGAAAUCAAAAUGUCCAGUUUUAA